rnacentral:rRNA from 1 species
AGCGAACGCUGGCGGCAGGCCUAACACAUGCAAGUCGAACGAACCUUUCGGGGUUAGUGGCGGACGGGUGAGUAACACGUGGGAACGUGCCUUUAGGUUCGGAAUAACUCAGGGAAACUUGUGCUAAUACCGAAUGUGCCCUUCGGGGGAAAGAUUUAUCGCCUUUAGAGCGGCCCGCGUCUGAUUAGCUAGUUGGUUGAGGUAAUGGCUCACCAAGGCGACGAUCGGUAGCUGGUCUGAGAGGAUGAUCAGCCACAUUGGGACUGAGACACGGCCCAAACUCCUACGGGAGGCAGCAGUGGGGAAUCUUGUGCAAUGGGCGAAAGCCUGACGCAGCCAUGCCGCGUGAAUGAUGAAGGUCUUAGGAUUGUAAAAUUCUUUCACCGGGGACGAUAAUGACGGUACCCGGAGAAGAAGCCCCGGCUAACUUCGUG